UUUUUCUUUUCUGACAGAUGAUUGAAAACGUUCGCUCUGCCAACUGGACGGACCCGGCGGUGGUCAAAGAUUUUAUGGACAACUUUAGCAAGGCGAAACAUUAUCAUCGAUGUAACGGGCAAAAUUUCGAUGUGUAUGCUGGUACGUAUCGCGAACCACUUCCACACCUGCCCUAUGUACCUCCAGCUCCGCAUUGUACACAUAACUAAAAUGGUCGCCAUUUGGAUUGGUACCCUGAAGUUGUAUCUACAUUGGAACCAAUAGAACAUAGAAAUGAUCGGACCAGAAAACCGGACGAUGUCUUAUAGACAAACUGUCGAAAUAAAUAUUAGAAACAA